ensembl:snRNA U6 U6 spliceosomal RNA
GUGCUCACUUCAGCAGCACAUAUUCUAAAAUUGGAAUGAUACAGAGAAGAUUAUCAUGGCCCCUGUGCUUGGCUGAUGUGAAAAUUCCUGAAACAUCCCAUACUUUU